rnacentral:rRNA from 1 species
GAUGAACGCUGGCGGCGUGCCUAAUACAUGCAAGUCGAGCGAACGGACGAGAAGCUUGCUCCUCUGAUGUUAGCGGCGGACGGGUGAGUAACACGUGGAUAACCUACCUAUAAGACUGGGAUAACUUCGGGAAACCGUAGCUAAUACCGGAUAAUAUUUUGAACCGCAUGGUUCAAAAGUGAAAGACGGUCUUGCUGUCACUUAUAGAUGGGUCCGCGCUGCAUUAGCUAGUUGGUAAGGUAACGGCUUACCAAGGCAACGAUGCAUAGCCGACCUGAGAGGGUGAUCGGCCACACUGGAACUGAGACACGGUCCAGACUCCUACGGGAGGCAGCAGUAGGGAAUCUUCCGCAAUGGGCGAAAGCCUGACGGAGCAACGCCGCGUGAGUGAUGAAGGUCUUCGGAUCGUAAAACUCUGUUAUUAGGGAAGAACAUAUGUGUAAGUAACUGUGCACAUCUUGACGGUACCUAAUCAGAAAGCCACGGCUAACUACGUG